rnacentral:snRNA from 1 species
GGAUGUGUGGUGAUCUGGUGGUGAUGUCUGUCACCCCACUGAUCACCAGGGUUAAUCUGGUUGACAAUGUCAGUCUGCUAGGCUUCCCUUCCUUUCUUACCACUCCAUGUAUAUCCUUCCCAAAGCUGCGCACUUAUCAGGAAGGACAACCUGCCCAGACAGAGGUCUAGCCUUCGGUCAAGGGUACACACAGGUAGCUUUGGUCCUGGACAAAACCUGCAGGCAAGCUCUCAAGAAACAAAAGGCCAUAUGCAACGGGAUACUAAAGUCAAAACCGGGCGACGCUAAUGUUCAAUGACAGAAAUCAGGGCUGGGGAUGUGUCUCAGUGGACAGAGCCC